rnacentral:rRNA from 1 species
AGCUCCAAUAGCGUAUACUAAUGUUGUUGCAGUUAAAAAGCUCGUAGUCGGAUUUCAGAUUUGGUUCGUUUUCCUAUCAAAGGAUUAUGACUCAUUUCUUCUUUAACAGAAAGCUUCAUCACAUUCAUUUGUGGAGUUGUCUACCUGUUUCUUUUACUUUGAGAAAAUUUGAGUGUUCAAAGCAGGUUCUUGCCUGAAAAUUACUCUUGGAAUAAUAAUAUAGGACUCUGGUUCUAGUUUGUUGGUGAUCUAGUGCCGGAGUAAUGAUUAAUAGCAACGGUUGGGGUCAUUCGUACUGCAAAGCGAGAGGUGAAAUUCUUGGACCUUUGUAUGACGAACAACUGCGAAAGCAUUUGACUAGGACGUUUGCG